rnacentral:rRNA from 1 species
AUUGAACGCUGGCGGCAUGCCUUACACAUGCAAGUCGAACGGCAGCACGGGAGCAAUCCUGGUGGCGAGUGGCGAACGGGUGAGUAAUAUAUCGGAACGUGCCCAGUCGUGGGGAUAACGUAGCGAAAGCUACGCUAAUACCGCAUACGAUCUAUGGAUGAAAGCGGGGGAUCGCAAGACCUCGCGCGAUUGGAGCGGCCGAUAUCAGAUUAGGUAGUUGGUGAGGUAAAGGCUCACCAAGCCGACGAUCUGUAGCUGGUCUGAGAGGACGACCAGCCACACUGGGACUGAGACACGGCCCAGACUCCUACGGGAGGCAGCAGUGGGGAAUUUUUGGACAAUGGGCGAAAGCCUGAUCCAGCAAUGCCGCGUGAGUGAUGAAGGCCUCGGUGUAAG